UACGUAGGGAGCAAGCGUUGUCCGGAAUCAUUGGGCGUAAAGCGCGCGUAGGCGGCCCGGUAAGUCCGCUGUGAAAGUCAACGGCUCAACUGUUGGAUGCCGGUGGAUACUGUCGGGCUAGAGUACGGAAGAGGCAAGUGGAAUUCCUGGUGUAGCGGUGGAAUGCGCAGAUAUCAGGAGGAACACCUAUAGCGAAGGCAGCUUGCUGGGACGUUACUGACGCUAAGGCGCGAAAGCGUGGGGAGCGAACAGG
rnacentral:rRNA from 1 species